rnacentral:rRNA from 1 species
AGUGAACGCUGGCGGCGUGCUUAACACAUGCAAGUCGAACGAGAACGGAUUAUAGCUUGCUAUAAUUGUCAGCUAAGUGGCGCACGGGUGAGUAAUGUAUAGGUAAUAUGCCUCUUACUAAGGGAUAACAAAUGGAAACGUUUGCUAAUACCUUAUACUCCUUAUUAACAGAAGUUAAUAAGGGAAAGAUUUAUUGGUAAGAGAUUAGCCUGUAUUGUAUCAGUUAGUUGGUGGGGUAAUGGCUUACCAAGACUAUGACACAUAACUGGUUUGAGAGGAUGAUCAGUCACACUGGAACUGAGACACGGUCCAGACUCCUACGGGAGGCAGCAGUGGGGAAUAUUGCACAAUGGACGAAAGUCUGAUGCAGCAACGCCGCGUGGAGGAUGACACAUUUCGGUGCGUAAACUCCUUUUAUAUGAGAAGAUAAUGACGGUAUUAUAUGAAUAAGCACCGGCUAACUCCGUGCCAGCAGCCG